rnacentral:rRNA from 1 species
AGAGUUUGAUCCUGGCUCAGGAUGAACGCUGGCGGCGCGCCUAACACAUGCAAGUCGAACGGCACCCAUCUUCGGAUGGAAGCGAGUGGCGAACGGCUGAGUAACACGUGGAGAACCUGCCCCCUCCCCCGGGAUAGCCGCCCGAAAGGACGGGUAAUACCGGAUACCCCGGGGUGCCGCAUGGCACCCCGGCUAAAGCCCCGACGGGAGGGGAUGGCUCCGCGGCCCAUCAGGUAGACGGCGGGGUGACGGCCCACCGUGCCGACAACGGGUAGCCGGGUUGAGAGACCGACCGGCCAGAUUGGGACUGAGACACGGCCCAGACUCCUACGGGAGGCAGCAGUGGGGAAUCUUGCGCAAUGGGGGGAACCCUGACGCAGCGACGCCGCGUGCGGGACGGAGGCCUUCGGGUCGUAAACCGCUUUCAGCAGGGAAGAGUCAAGACUGUACCUGCAGAAGAAGCCCCGGCUAACUACGUGCCAGCAGCCGCGGUAAUACGUAGGGGGCGAGCGUUAUCCGGAUUCAUUGGGCGUAAAGCGCGCGUAGGCGGCCCGGCAGGCCGGGGGUCGAAGCGGGGGGCUCAACCCCCCGAAGCCCCCGGAACCUCCGCGGCUUGGGUCCGGUAGGGGAGGGUGGAACACCCGGUGUAGCGGUGGAAUGCGCAGAUAUCGGGUGGAACACCGGUGGCGAAGGCGGCCCUCUGGGCCGAGACCGACGCUGAGGCGCGAAAGCUGGGGGAGCGAACAGGAUUAGAUACCCUGGUAGUCCCAGCCGUAAACGAUGGACGCUAGGUGUGGGGGGACGAUCCCCCCGUGCCGCAGCCAACGCAUUAAGCGUCCCGCCUGGGGAGUA